GCGAGCGACAGGGAAGAGCCCAGCACCGAAUCUCUGGCGCCGAAAGGCGUCAGCGAAAUGUGGUGUUAAGAGAGGGUCCGCUAGACGGAGUACGCUGUGCCGUGUCCAAGUCCUUCUUGAACGGGGCCACGGUCCGCAGAGGGUGCCAGACCCGUUGUGGCCGGUCGCGUCUCCGGUUGGACCUCUCUCUAGAGUCGGGUUGCUUGAGAGUGCAGCCUAAAGUGGGUGGUAAACUCCAUCUAAGGCUAAAUAUGACCACGAGACCGAUAGCAAACAAGUACCGUGAGGGAAAGUUGAAAAGAACUUUGAAGAGAGAGUUCAAUAGUACGUGAAACCGUUCAGGGGUAAACGGGGAAGACUUGAAAAUCCGAAAGGAGAGAUUCACGUCUUCCGCUGGCGUGGCCGGGUCCGUUUCGCGUAUGGCCGCACUCCCCCGCCUCGGCUCCGGCCGCGGCGGUGGUGGGUCGGCCGACCGGACGGCAACGACCGUGUCGCGGAGGACCGCACUUCUCUCUUAGUAGGACGUCGCGACCCGUUCGGAAUGCUCGCCUGACGCCCGGCAGGGAGCCUCGGUGUGGCAGCCCACUUGUGGGUUGUCGCGCUCGAGCCCGUCGGAGCGGGGCGGCGUUACGGACGGUGGCUAACGACGGUGUCGAACCGCUCCUCGGAGCGCCUUCGGCCGGUUCCGAGUCGGGAGUAGCGUGUGGACGGCGGGCCUUCGCGGCCCGCUUCGCCGCGCCCCCGGCUGUCGGGGACCGGUCCCGAGGCCGAGUUCACAUCACCCGUCGGCGACGCCGCAGUUUCGAGCUCUUACCCGACCCGUCUUGAAACACGGACCAAGGAGUCCAACGUGUGCGCGAGUCGUUGGGCGUUAACCCCAAUGGCGUAAUCAAGGUGAAGGGAAGUUCUCUUCCUCAGGGAGGAGCGGGUCCGGCUCUGGUCGGCCCCCGCACUCCCGGGGCGUCCCACGCUCAUUGCGAGCGGAGGCGCACCUAGAGCGUUCACGCUGGGACCCGAAAGAUGGUGAACUAUGCCUGGCCAGGACGAAGCCAGGGGAAACCCUGGUGGAGGUCCGUAGCGGUUCUGACGUGCAAAUCGAUCGUCGGAGCUGGGUAUAGGGGCGAAAGACUAAUCGAACCAUCUAGUAGCUGGUUCCCUCCGAAGUUUCCCUCAGGAUAGCUGGCAACCAGGCUGAGCGAGUCUCAUCUGGUAAAGCGAAUGAUUAGAGGCCUUGGGGUCGAAACGACCUCAACCUAUUCUCAAACUUUAAAUGGAUGAGAACCCCGGCUUGCUUGAAAGAGUGAAGCCGGGGCUCGGAUCAGGUUGCUAAGUGGGCCAAUUUUGGUAAGCAGAACUGGCGCUGUGGGAUGAACCAAACGCGGAGUUAAGGCGCCUAAAUCGACGCUCAUCAGACACCAUGAAAGGCGUUGGUUGCUUAAGACAGCAGGACGGUGGCCAUGGAAGUCGGAAUCCGCUAAGGAGUGUGUAACAACUCACCUGCCGAAGCAACUAGCCCUGAAAAUGGAUGGCGCUGUAGCGUCGUGCCUAAACUCCGCCGCCAACGGCAAACUCGGCUCGGUCCCCUCGGGGAUCGUCUACCGUUAUGCCUUGGUGAGUAGGAGGGCCGCGGCGACGUGCGUUGAAGGGUCUGGGCGCGAGCCCGCCUGGAGCCGUCGCCGGUGCAGAUCUUGGUGGUAGUAGCAAAUACUCCAGCGAGGCCCUGGAGGACUGAUGUGGAGAAGGGUUUCUUGUGAACAGCCGUUGCACAAGAGUCAGUCGGUCCUAAGCCCUAGGAGAAAUCCGAUGCCGAUGGGCGCCCUUAACUUUGUCCGUGUCGGUUACCUUCUCGAAAGAGCGGGAAACUGGCUGGCGUGUUAUUGCUUGGCGCCCUUGGUUGGGCGAAAGGGAAUCCGGUUCCUAUUCCGGAACCUGGUGGCGGAACCGUUCCAUGUCGGGCCCUCUUGACGGGUGCUCGUCAGGGUAACCUCAAAAGACCCGGUGACACCGUCGGGAGAUCCAGAGAGAGUUGUCUCUUCUCUAUAAGCGUUCGAAAUCCCUGGAAACCUCUAGCAGGGAGAUAGGGUUUUGAGCGCAAAGAGCACCGCAGUUACGGCGGCGUCUGGAUCUUCCCUUCGGACCGUGAAAAACCGGGCGAGGGUUACGAGGAACACCGCGCCAGACCGUACCCAUAUCCGCAGCAGGUCUCCAAGGUCAAUAGCCUCUAGUCGUUAGAUAUGUGNNNNNNNNNNNNNNNNGUGAUACACUACUUUCAUAGUUUCCUUACUUACUCGGUGAGGCGGAGGGCGUCCGCCGAUGGCCUCACGGCCACGGCGGUACUUCCUUCUCGUUCCAAGCACCGGGGUUGGCGCCGUCCCCGUGGGACGUUCGGACGGUCCCGCUAGGCGCGCUGCCGAGAGGUACGCGCCGACGCGGGCCUCCGGACCGCUCUCGUGGGCGACGGUCGACCAAAAUUAUCCCCGGUGUGAUCCGAUCCGAGGACACUGCCAGGCGGGGAGUUUGUCUGGGGCGGAACAUCUGUCAAACAAUAACGCAGGUGUCCUAAGGCCAGCUCAGCGAGGACAGAAACCUCGCGUAGAGCAAAAGGGCAAAUGCUGGCUUGAUCCCGAUGCCCAGUACGCAUAGGGACUGCGAAAGCACGGCCCAUCGAUCCUUUUAGCUUGAAGAGUUUUCAGCAAGAGGUGUCAGAAAAGUUACCACAGGGAUAACUGGCUUGUGGCAGCCAAGCGUUCAUAGCGACGUUGCUUUUUGAUCCUUCGAUGUCGGCUCUUCCUAUCAUUGCGGAGCAGAAUCCGCCAAGCGUCGGAUUGUUCACCCGCCAAUAGGGAACGUGAGCUGGGUUUAGACCGUCGUGAGACAGGUUAGUUUUACCCUACUAAUGACAAAUUUCAUUGCAACGGUAAUCCUGCUCAGUACGAGAGGAACCGCAGAUUCGGACAUCUGGUUAUGCACUCGGUCGACAGGCCGGUGGUGCCAGGCUAUCAUCCGCGGGACUAAGCCUGAACGCCUCUAAGGCCGAAUCCCGCCUGAUAGCACUGACAUCUAGGGGUCCCAUGGGUCGAAAGGCUCAAAACAAUGUGACACUGUAGGUGGAACCAGUUCGGCUGGGCCAUCGCACGAGCCAUAUUGCCGCCGAGGCCCGAGCGUGGGGACAUAAUGGGCUCUGGCUAAAGUCGUGUCCGUCCCCGGCUUCGGUGGGUAACAUGGGUCACCCGUAAGGGAGUUCGAUGUUGGGACCCGGAAUCGUCUGCAGACG
rnacentral:rRNA from 1 species